rnacentral:piRNA from 1 species
GAGAAAUAGAGUGGUCGGAUG